rnacentral:tRNA from 1 species
GGGCUCGUAGUGUAGCGGUCAUCACGCCUCCCUGUCACGGAGGAGAUCGCCGGUUCGAAUCCGGUCGAGCCCG